rnacentral:misc_RNA from 1 species
UCCGGCUUGACGCCGGCAGUCCCCCGAGAGUCCUCAGCAUUACCUGUUAGUAACACGGGGCGAGGGUUGCGCUCGUUGCGGGACUUAACCCAACAUCUCACGACACGAGCUGACGACAGCCAUGCAGCACCUGUGCUGGUGUUCCGAAGAAGGGCCCCACUUUCAUGAGGCUUUCACCAGCAUGUCAAGCCCAGGUAAGGUUCUUCGCGUUGCGUCGAAUUAAACCACAUGCUCCGCUGCUUGUGCGGGUCCCCGUCAAUUCCUUUGAGUUUUAAUCUUGCGACCGUACUUCCCAGGCGGCGCAUUUAUCGCGUUAGCUUCGCCACAAACGGGGUCGAUUCCGUUUACAGCAAAUGCGCACCGUUUACAGCCAAGACUAC